rnacentral:rRNA from 5 species
ACGGGUGCGUAACGCGUGGGAAUCUACCCCUUGGUUCGGAAUAACAGUUGGAAACGACUGCUAAUACCGGAUGAUGACGUAAGUCCAAAGAUUUAUCGCCGAGGGAUGAGCCCGCGUAGGAUUAGGUAGUUGGUGUGGUAAAGGCGCACCAAGCCGACGAUCCUUAGCUGGUCUGAGAGGAUGAUCAGCCACACUGGGACUGAGACACGGCCCAGACUCCUACGGGAGGCAGCAGUGGGGAAUAUUGGACAAUGGGCGAAAGCCUGAUCCAGCAAUGCCGCGUGAGUGAUGAAGGCCUUAGGGUUGUAAAGCUCUUUUACCCGGGAUGAUAAUGACAGUACCGGGAGAAUAAGCUCCGGCUAACUCCGUGCCAGCAGCCGCGGUAAUACGGAGGGAGCUAGCGUUAUUCGGAAUUACUGGGCGUAAAGCGCACGUAGGCGGCUUUGUAAGUAAGAGGUGAAAGCCCAGAGCUCAACUCUGGAAUUGCCUUUUAGACUGCAUCGCUUGAAUCAUGGAGAGGUCAGUGGAAUUCCGAGUGUAGAGGUGAAAUUCGUAGA